CUGAGUUUGAUCUCUGGUACAAAAAAACCAAACAAACUACAACAACAACAAGAAAAGAAUGUGUUCUGAAACAAGAUUUCAUGAAGACUUCCAGGUUGAACAUUUAAAAGAAAGCUCCUUGAAGGAAAGAAGCCAAUUCCAAGAAUUCACUGGAUCCUCAAAAUUCAUUCAAUCCAAACCCAUCUAUUCACCAUGAGGAUCAGACCUGGAGUGCACCUUCCCAAGAUGAAGUGUUGACACACAGCAUGACUAACAUCAAGUUCUACUCUCUUGCUGGCGUGAGCAGAGAGAGGAAGAGAAAGAGAUCGUAACAAGAAUUUAAGGUGGCACCCUUAUCCCCUAACCUCUCUUACAGAAAAAAAAAAAGGCAAAACUCAGAAGGAACUUUCCUGUUAUUUCCCCCACCGGCUGGUCCUGUAUCAAAAGCAGUUUACCAUAGUAUCUCUAAUAUAGGGGAACUGCUGUCAAAGGAGCAGUUUGCUGUAGUAGUUCUAGUACAGAAGGACUUAAGAGACCUGCACUGUGAUAAUAGCUAUUCCAAAAUUAAGACAAACCAUCAGUAUAAUCUUUCUUUAAACAGUCCUUGCCUUCAUGGUGUACAAAGAUUUUUUCUCUCUCUCAAUCUCUCAUUGAUGUUAGCUUACUACAAGAAAUCUAUGUUAUAAUUUGCUCCUCAAAAGAAAAAAAGCACAGGUUGGUAGCCCAUAAAAGUUCUGACUAGCUUAUUUAUAAUUAUAACCCUGAAAUUAUAACAAAUUAACAUAAUUCAUCUUUGCCAGUAGAGCUAAGAGUGCACUUUAACUUAAAAAUAAUUGUUUCGUGUGUUCUGUUUCUUACUGGUCCAUUUAAUAUGAUUAAGGUACCUAUGAAACUGUGUCAGUAAAGUUGUUGGAGCUCAUAUCAAUUUUAUUUUUCUUUAACUUUUGCCCUUGUAAACUUCUGGCUCUUGUGGGUCUUCCAUGAAAAACCAAUUUUACAGGUAUUUUGGGAUAGCCAAACUCACUUAAGACAUUACAAGAUGAGGGCUAAUGGGCUUGUGGCUUACAUGGGACUUAGAAAUAGAAGUCUUAAAGUUUGACAGCAUAAAGCUUAUAUAUGAUUUCCAUUAAUGUGUAUAUUUCUAUAUGUCAAUUUUCAGGUAUAUGCUUCUCUUAAAU